rnacentral:rRNA from 1 species
GAUGAACGCUGGCGGCGUGCCUAAUACAUGCAAGUCGAGCGAACAGACGAGGAGCUUGCUCCUCUGACGUUAGCGGCGGACGGGUGAGUAACACGUGGAUAACCUACCUAUAAGACUGGGAUAACUUCGGGAAACCGGAGCUAAUACCGGAUAAUAUAUUGAACCGCAUGGUUCAAUAGUGAAAGACGGUUUUGCUGUCACUUAUAGAUGGAUCCGCGCCGCAUUAGCUAGUUGGUAAGGUAACGGCUUACCAAGGCAACGAUGCGUAGCCGACCUGAGAGGGUGGUAGGCCACCCUGGAACUGAGACACGGUCCAGACUCCUACGGGAGGCAGCAGUAGGGAAUCUUCCGCAAUGGGCGAAAGCCUGACGGAGCAACGCCGCGUGAGUGAUGAAGGUCUUCGGAUCGUAAAACUCUGUUAUUAGGGAAGAACAAAUGUGUAAGUAACUAUGCACGUCUUGACGGUACCUAAUCAGAAAGCCACGGCUAACUACGUG